rnacentral:rRNA from 1 species
CAACUCGCCUACACGAAGUCGGAAUCGCUAGUAAUCGCGGAUCAGCAUGCCGCGGUGAAUACGUUCCCGGGCCUUGUACACACCGCCCGUCACACCAUGGAAGUCUGCAAUGCCCGAAGCCGGUGGCCUAACCACUUAUGUGGAAGGAGCCGUCUAAGGCAGGGCAGAUGACUGGGGUGAAGUCGUAACAAGGUAAC